rnacentral:rRNA from 1 species
UGGGGAAUAUUGCACAAUGGGCGCAAGCCUGAUGCAGCGACGCCGCGUGAGGGAUGACGGCCUUCGGGUUGUAAACCUCUUUCGCCAGGGACGAAGCGACUGGGUUUUCUCAAUCGUGACGGUACCUGGAUAAGAAGCACCGGCUAACUACGUGCCAGCAGCCGCGGUAAUACGUAGGGUGCGAGCGUUGUCCGGAUUUAUUGGGCGUAAAGAGCUCGUAGGCGGUUUGUCGCGUCGGCCGUGAAAUCUCCACGCUUAACGUGGAGCGUGCGGUCGAUACGGGCAGACUUGAGUUCGGUAGGGGAGACUGGAAUUCCUGGUGUAGCGGUGAAAUGCGCAGAUAUCAGGAGGAACACCGGUGGCGAAGGCGGGUCUCUGGGCCGAUACUGACGCUGAGGAGCGAAAGCGUGGGGAGCGAACAG